UAUGUAGGGUGCGAGCGUUGUCCGGAAUUAUUGGGCGUAAAGGGCUCGUAGGCGGUUUGUCGCGUCGGGAGUGAAAUCCACUGGCUUAACUGGUGGCUUGCUUUCGAUACGGGCAGACUGGAGGUAUGCAGGGGAGAACGGAAUUCCUGGUGUAGCGGUGAAAUGCGCAGAUAUCAGGAGGAACACCGGUGGCGAAGGCGGUUCUCUGGGCAUUACCUGACGCUGAGGAGCGAAAGUGUGGGGAGCGAACAGG
rnacentral:rRNA from 1 species